GUGACAGGGACCUAGAAAGGUUCGACAGAAGGUGGCACCAUUACUGAAUGCUGGCCAGGACUCUUUGAAGAGGACAUUAUAGCAGCCAUGAAUAGAAAACUGUGUGCGUCCAGUGCCCUGGUUUCUGUUUUAUUAGUGACAUGUUUUGCAAGGCCAUUGACUGACUCCCACAGACUUGGCACAACCUCUGCACAAAACAAGAUGUCAAAAAGAAAUGCAUAUUCAAUGGACAUGAUCAGGAGGGACUGGACAGGCACAUUUUCUGAUGAUCAGAAGCAGCUUUUCUCUAAACUUCUUGCAGAGAUGUCUAGCAAAGAAGGCUACUGGCCAGCAGAUGGUGUUCAUCCUAUGCAUGACAGAGAUUACGCUGGAUGGAUGGACUUUGGACGCAGAAGUGCAGAAGCCCUAGAAUUUGAUUCCUGAAGAAGUUGUUUUACCAGUGAAGAUUUUACUGAGCUGCUUAUUCAUAAUUCUUUCAAGUGCAGACAGUUUGCCCACAGUUUAUAUUAACUACAUUUGAAUAUCAGUUUCUCUUUUUAUGUUCCAUAAACUCAUAUUUUAUUAUACCAUUAUGCACUAUUAAGUACAUUUUCUGGUGAUUUAGAAGAAAUUAUAAAUGAGAAUAUAUAUGUUAUAUACAAUAAG